rnacentral:rRNA from 1 species
UACGUAGGGGGCAAGCGUUAUCCGGAUUUACUGGGUGUAAAGGGAGCGUAGGCGGUUCAGCAAGUCAGAAGUGAAAGCCCGGGGCUCAACUCCGGGACUGCUUUUGAAACUGUGUGACUGGAGUGCAGGAGAGGUAAGCGGAAUUCCUGGUGUAGCGGUGAAAUGCGUAGAUAUUAGGAGGAACACCAGUGGCGAAGGCGGCUUACUGGACGAUGACUGACGCUGAGGCUCGAAAGCGUGGGGAGCAAAAAGG